GACGAACGCUGGCGGCGUGCCUAAUACAUGCAAGUAGAACGCACAGUUUAUACCGUAGCUUGCUACACCAUAAACUGUGAGUUGCGAACGUGUGAGUAACGCGUAGGUAACCUGCCUGGUAUCGGGGGAUAACUAUUGGAAACGAUAGCUAAUACCGCAUUAUAUUGAUUAUUCCAUGAUAAUUGAUUGAAAGAUGCUAUUGCAUCACUACCAGAUCGACCUGCGUUGUAUUAGCUAGUAGGUGAGGUAACGGCUCACCUAGGCGACGAUACAUAGCCGACCUGAGAGGGUGAUCGGGCACACUGGGACUGAGACACGGCCCAGACUCAUACGGGAGGCAGCAGUAGGGAAUCUUCGGCAAUGGACGAAAGUCUGACCGAGCAACGCCGCGUGAGUGAAGAAGGGUUUCGGAUCGUAAAGCUCUGUUGUAAGAGAAGAACGGGUGUGAGAGUGGAAAGUUCACACUGUGACGGUAUCUUACCAGAAAGGGACGGCUAACUACGUG
rnacentral:rRNA from 1 species